rnacentral:rRNA from 1 species
CAGUCGCCGCGGGAAUACGUAGGGUGCGAGCGUUAAUCGGAAUUACUGGGCGUAAAGCGUGCGCAGGCGGCUUUGCAAGACAGAUGUGAAAUCCCCGGGCUCAACCUGGGAACUGCAUUUGUGACUGCAAGGCUAGAGUGCGGCAGAGGGAGAUGGAAUUCCGCGUGUAGCAGUGAAAUGCGUAGAUAUGCGGAGGAACACCGAUGGCGAAGGCAAUCUCCUGGGCCUGCACUGACGCUCAUGCACGAAAGCGUGGGGAGCAAACAGGAUUAGAUACCCGCGUAGUCCCUGUCUCUUAUAC